GACGAACGCUGGCGGCGUGCUUAACACAUGCAAGUCGAACGAAGUGGCGCACGGGUGAGUAACGCGUAAGCAACCGGCCCUUCAAAGGGGGACAACAGUUGGAAACGACUGCUAAUACCGCAUACUGAAGUAGGAGUGUGCGUCGUCUUAGCUAGUUGGAGGGGUAACGGACCACCAAGGCGAUGAUCAGUAGCCGGGCUGAUAGGAUGAACGGCCAAAUUGGGACUGAUGCACGGCCCAGACUCCUACGGGAGGCAGCAGUGGGGAAUCUGCCGCAAUGGACGAAAGUCUGACGGAGCAACGCCGCGUGAGUGAUGACGGCCUUCGGGUUGUAAAGCUCUGUUAAUCGGGACGCGGUACCGGAAUAGAAAGCCACGGCUAACUACGUGCCAGCAGCCGCGGUAAUUC
rnacentral:rRNA from 1 species